rnacentral:rRNA from 1 species
AUUGAACGCUGGCGGCAUGCUUUACACAUGCAAGUCGAACGGUAACAGGCCGCAAGGUGCUGACGAGUGGCGAACGGGUGAGUAAUGCAUCGGAACGUGCCCAGUCGUGGGGGAUAACUACUCGAAAGAGUAGCUAAUACCGCAUACGAUCUAUGGAUGAAAGCGGGGGACCGUAAGGCCUCGCGCGAUUGGAGCGGCCGAUGUCAGAUUAGGUAGUUGGUGGGGUAAAGGCUCACCAAGCCAACGAUCUGUAGCUGGUCUGAGAGGACAACCAGCCACACUGGGACUGAGACACGGCCCAGACUCCUACGGGAGGCAGCAGUGGGGAAUUUUGGACAAUGGGCGCAAGCCUGAUCCAGCAAUGCCGCGUGCAGGAAGAAGGCCUUCGGGUUUUAAACUGCUUUUGUACGGAACGAAACGGCUCUGGUUAAUACCCGGGGCUAAUGACGGUACCGUAAGAAUAAGCACCGGCUAACUACGUG